rnacentral:rRNA from 1 species
GACGUAGGGCGCGAGCGUUGUCCGGAUUUAUUGGGCGUAAAGAGCUCGUAGGCGGCUUGUCGCGUCGUCCGUGAAAACCUGCAGCUCAACUGCAGGCUUGCGGUCGAUACGGGCAGGCUAGAGUUCGGUAGGGGAGACUGGAAUUCCUGGUGUAGCGGUGAAAUGCGCAGAUAUCAGGAGGAACACCGGUGGCGAAGGCGGGUCUCUGGGCCGAUACUGAC